rnacentral:rRNA from 1 species
GACGAACGCUGGCGGCGUGCUUAACACAUGCAAGUCGAACGGAAAGGCCCUGCUUUUGUGGGGUGCUCGAGUGGCGAACGGGUGAGUAACACGGGAGUAACCUGCCCUCGACUUUGGGAUAACUUCAGGAAACUGGGGCUAAUACCGGAUAGGAGCUCCUGCUGCAUGGUGGGGGUUGGAAAGUUUCGGCGGUUGGGGAUGGACUCGCGGCUUAUCAGCUUGUUGGUGGGGUAGUGGCUUACCAAGGCUUUGACGGGUAGCCGGCCUGAGAGGGUGACCGGCCACAUUGGGACUGCGAUACGGCCCAGAGUCCUACGGGAGGCAGCAGUGGGGAAUAUUGCACAAUGGGCGGAAGCCUGAUGCAGCAACGCCGCGUGCGGGAUGACGGCCUUCGGGUUGUAAACCGCUUUCGCCUGUGACGAAGCGUGAGUGACGGUAAUGGGUAAAGAAGCACCGGCUAACUACGUG